UUCCUUUCUACCUGUCAACAUCCUUUUUUAUCUAAGGCGUGGCAGCAUCAUUGUAGACCACAAAAUCAUCAUUGAAGCUAAGGUACAUAACAUGACCGAGAGCAGCAUCGAUACAGUUCUCCAGAAUGUUUCAGAGACAGUGUUGCAGACAGUGGUUACCUUGAACGCCACCCAGGAGAACUGUUCAGAUGGCCCUGAUUUUUGUUUUUUUGUUCCAGAGGAACCAAUCCGCAAUGUAACUUCAAAUUUCUCAGCAGAAGAGUAUUGCAAAGCAGCCAUCGGGCCCCCAUUUGCACCCUACUAUUACCCUAAUACAACAUCAGGCAGCCUGAAAUGUUUGUCCAACUGCUCUGAAGACAACCCGAAAGCCUUCAAAUGCAAAUACGGCAUUUGUCGCAUCUUGAAAACAGGGCCUCAGUGCAACUGCAAUGAUUUGGACCUAUAUUGGUACACGGACAAGUACUGCCAGACACGCAUCCAUAAGAACGACGUUGCCCUCGGCCUCCCACUGGCUAUUCUCUUUGUGCUCAGCAUCAUCCUGUCUGUUUUGGUCUUCAGGGCCAAACGGAAGAAGUCCUCGUCUAGUUGGUCUGAUGAUUCUGAGCUUUGGUAUGAAGAGGUAGAAGAAGACAUGUGGAAGUCCUCAGAAGUUCUUACCUUCAGGAAUGAAUCAGCAUGUUUUUCAGAUGGGAGCCAAGACACAAGCCAUGCUUUCCAGCCUUCUCUUCAUCUGGUUGACACAUCCGUAAAGCUGAAGUUCCAAAAACCAUCACGGCAGACCUCACCUUCUGAGAUGCUUGAAGAACGUGAAAGAUCCUCACAGAAUCAGACUGAAAAUGCAGAAACAGUCUUAGUCACAAAUUUGUAGUGGUAGUAUCUAUCACUGUAAUUUUCUUACGUUCCUCUGAGAUCUGCUUCCUGGUGGAAGUGUACCAUUGUUCAGUUAAUAAGAGAAAAAUGUAUUGAAAAAGUGUGGAAUCCAUAGGAUGUUUUACACAAAAGUGACAGAGAUACAUUCCACUCCGUCUGCACUGUUUUCCCACCCGCAAACCUUUUUGCAAGUCACCUGGUCUAGUUAUGAUACAAGACGUACUUUCAUUCUGAUCUUAUUACUAAUUUCAUGUUUCUGUUCUUAUCUUCUCUUUUCUGACAUUUAAGCUUCUAGUCUGCCAUUCAUUCUUCCACUCUAAAUAAAUCAUCUCUUCAUCCUAAAAGUCUUGAAUUA
rnacentral:lncRNA from 1 species